CGCCGGCAGACUGUGGUCGGGGGCUUCCUGCUUUUCGUCUAAUACCCAACAACUGGGGCCAAUUUCAUUCUUUAAAACCUCUGUUGCAAACACUGCCAGAAACUGCAGGUUAUGGCUCAGAGGGAAUCUGUGAAGAGCAGGCCCAGCGCCAUCUCCGGGGAAGGGCAGCUGCGGCUGUCAUUCCUAACUGCAAAGCGCGCCCUGUUUCCACGGGCAACAGGACCAGCCCGCGCCCGCCUUAUCUCCUAGCACCCAGCACGUUGCCCGGCAGGCGAGGGACGCUGGGCAGCAAAGUCACAGCGCCUUUCUCACUACAGAGAUGUCUGAUACCGCAGCCAAAGGGGACAGCGAGAAUCCGCGCACGCUGAGCCCUGCCUGACUGCCCCAAGCUCCUGUCGUGUUUCGAACGUGUCAUUUCUCAUCUGUGCCACUCGUGGCGCUGCCUGCACGGGAACUGUGCGGGGAGCGAGGAGCUGGUGAUAACUCAGGGCCUUCGCAGUACACAACAGUGUCAGGCUGUAUUGUGCACGUGAGACUCGAGCUUUGCAACGUCCUGCCUCACCUCAGCUUCCCAAAGAGCUGGGGUUCCAGGGCGGCACCACGAC
ensembl:lncRNA